rnacentral:rRNA from 1 species
UACAGAGGGUGCAAGCGUUGUUCGGAAUUACUGGGCGUAAAGCGCGUGUAGGCUGCGAUGUAAGUCAGGUGUGGAAGCCCUCAGCUUAACUGAGGAAGUGCACUUGAUACUGUGUCGCUUGAGUGUCGGAGGGGGUGGCGGAAUUCCCGGUGUAGAGGUGAAAUUCGUUAGAUAUCGGGAGGAACACCUGUGGCGAAGGCGGCCACCUGGACGACAACUGACGCUGAGACGCGAAAAGCGUGGGUAGCAAACAGG